rnacentral:rRNA from 1 species
GAUCAUGGCUCAGGAUGAACGCUAGCUACAGGCUUAACACAUGCAAGUCGAGGGGCAGCAUGGUCUUAGCUUGCUAAGGCUGAUGGCGACCGGCGCACGGGUGAGUAACACGUAUCCAACCUGCCGUCUACUCUUGGCCAGCCUUCUAGAAAGGAAGAUUAAUCCAGGAUGGGAUCAUGAGUUCACAUCGUCCGCAUAGUAAGUUAAAGGUUACGUUUCCGGUAGACGAGUGGGGUA